rnacentral:lncRNA from 1 species
AAGAGAAAACACCCCCAGAGAAAAAAUCAAACCCACUACUAUCAGCCAUAUUGUCUUCGCCUUCACUUGGUGUCUCGUUACGUAAGAGAGCUUGUACACGAAGCCCGUGACUUGAUCCAUUACUGAUUCUCAGCUUCGAGAAUUGCCUUUUGGGUAGCGAACUACAAAACCAGCACGAAGAAGACUGGGAAGAAGUGGGCAGCGAAGAUUUGAGGAGAGGCCUGGUCUGUAAAUUGGGGAUGUGUGUUGAAGUAAAGAGAGCUUCCAUGGUGAGAUUUCAAUACAGAGGAGAAUAAGAUUGUAGCUUGAAGAGUCUGAUCUUCAGUCGACUUUUAAUACAGAAAACUAUAGAUCUUCAAAAUGAAAUAUGAAUCAAACGAUAACUUGAAACGACGUUCAUAAAAAGCAGAAUCACUUCUCAUGUGUUAGAAUCCUUGGAAGGAUCUCAACUAACAAUGAGGAACAUUCCCUAAACAAACUAGAGAGGAAGAAGAAGAAGUUUACAAUUCUCAGAUUUUUUGCAUAAUGAAGAAGACGAUGAACAACUUGAUCUUAAGCUUUAGCAACUUCAGCUCAUACCAAUCACAUCCCUCCACGUAUCUUUUCUUCUUUCAACCUAUCACUAAGCUCCACGUGUCCUCAUAUAUGUGCUACUAAAUUCCUAUAUCAAAUCUCCCCUGUUUGCAGAACCUUGACCACAAGGUUCAGAGUUUAAAAGUUGUCUCUGCAAAAUAGAGAGAAACUCCCAUGUAACUUCCUCCAUAGUUUCAUUAGUCCAUUGAACUAACGCCAUUGUGAUGCAUUCUCUUGUAUGUUAACCAGCAGCUUCCUAUGAUUCAGUCUUCAACAAAUGCAUAAACUGCACAUAGCUGAACUUGAUAUGCCAUGACAACUGAUUAUAAUAUCACCACAUGAAAGAACAAGGAAUCCACCAUGAUUGCAUUGCUGGCCCGAAUAGAACAUAUGCAUUCACCAUGGAGUUGCAUCUUCAAAUAGAAACCCUCAAGUGACGUUAGUACCAUGGUAGCCAUGGACAGAACAUAUGCAUUCACUAAAAUUACUCUGCAAGUCAAGAAUGCUCCCAAGUAGAUACAACCACAGUUUUAUUACUUCAGUAGGUUUGCACCAUGGUAGCUGUCCUUGUGUGCCUACGUAGCCUGAUCCCAGGGUCAAAAGUUUUACCCGGUGUGACGUCAAGCAUUCGUUUUAUUGUGGCAAAUCCUAUUUUAACAACUCGAACCACACAUUGAUACAUCACUUCCACAGUCUUGGCAUCACAGUCAAGCUUGUAAACAACCAAUCCCCUGCUGCAAAAGAGCUGCACCCAUCGAUCACUAUGUUCCCAAACAUAAUAUUCAGAAAGUACUAGAGAACACCAUCUCUUCCAUAGGCAAUGUGAAAUGUGAUGUUGCUUUAGUUUAAGCUUAGAUGGUUUUCCCGUCUUUACUAAAGGAUUAGCUUCUAGAGGCCGUGAUGCUUCACCACAAAGAAAAACAAGCGAUGUGUCGUGGAGAGUCACAACUCCUAACUCCAUGACCUGAAAUUCACCCACAACAUGUGUAGCUAGUAAUCUUCCACGUUCCCACACACGAUUCGCUUGACAAGAAACAUCAACUGCUUUAUAUACUCGUAACCUUAGAUCUCUAACUCAUGCUUCCAUUCUUCUAAAUCAACAUUAGAGUACCUAGGUAAAGUACCAAGUCGUCUUUUCCAAUUCUGAGAGUUUGUGAAUGGAGAAGUAAACAUCUUGGUCUCAUAGAGUCUUUCAAUUAUACCACCAGUGUGAACUUGACUUAGCCCAUCCCACAUAUCUUGUACACAUAGUAACCCAUCUGCAUCACUCCUAUGUCUUCUAUAUAUGAACAUCCAAGAUGUAGUCCCAUUUGAUAUCGUCUUUGUUCCCAAUUUUUUUUCAUGUCGAAACGUCGUAUCGAACCGUGGUGCUUCAUAAACUUCACCUACAACGACGAAGCUCACAUACCCAGAAUGGUGUAGCUUCCAUAGUCUCUCAUUCUCUUGUUUAUAUUUAAACAUCCAAGACUUCAAGCCUUUUCUCUGUUUCAUCAAUUUUAGACUUUCUUUGGCCUCAUACCUUUUACCAAACAGUUGGCGUGCAAUGUGAUUGUUAGUGAAACUUGUUGAUUCAUCCUUUGCCUUGACGGAUGAAACAAAUGAUGCUUCUUCAUGAUCAAACAAGUUAUCAAAACCGAUCACAGAUUGAAAAUCCUCACUCACAUCCGUUGCUUCAUCUUGAAAUCGAAGGCUAGGUUCCAGUUUAGAGAUCGGUACCUGAAAUUGUGGAAUUGAGUCUUCCUCUAUGAUUUCUCCGUGUACCAAAUUUUCUUCUAAGAAUGCAUCUAGCGACUGUGAAGCAUCCUCCAUCUGAUGUUGUAAAACCAAGUCUGUAUGCUGAGCACAAUGCGAUUCCAAAAUUGAAAAUGUAGUCUCUGUCUCCAUCUUAUCUGCACAUGCUCUCGAUUCUAUUUGCUGGAUAGAUACUACACAAUUCGAUGAAUCUGUUUCCUCAGCUUCGGAUUCCGAUUUUAAUCCAUCAGAAGGGAGUUGAUCUACUUCACCGUUGUGCAAUCGAAUCACUCUGAGCAUCUCAGCAAAAUACUUCUCCGUCUCCGAAUAUUGUUUCACGAGAGUAUCGUACAGCUUGUCUAAGCGCAACACCAACGCCGUUUCACCGUCCAUAGCUUCGUUCACCAGCGUCUCAGGUCUUGUUUCCUCCAUUGAUUCCGAGGAUACGAGUGGCUCUGAUACCUUUAAUACAGAAAACUAUAGAUCUUCAAAAUGAAAUAUGAAUCAAACGAUAACUUGAAACGACGUUCAUAAAACGCAGAAUCACUUCUCAUGUGUUAGAAUCCUUGGAAGGAUCUCAACUAACAAUGAGGAACAUUCCCUAAACAAACUAGAGAGGAAGAAGAAGAAGUUUACAAUUCUCAGAUUUUUUGCAUAAUGAAGAAGACGAUGAACAACUUGAUCUUAAGCUUUAGCAACUUCAGCUCAUACCAAUCACAUCCCUCCACGUAUCUUUUCUUCUUUCAACCUAUCACUAAGCUCCACGUGUCCUCAUAUAUGUGCUACUAAAUUCCUAUAUCAA